UACGUAGGUGGCAAGCGUUGUCCGGAAUUAUUGGGCGUAAAGCGCGCGCAGGCGGUUCCUUAAGUCUGAUGUGAAAGCCCACGGCUCAACCGUGGAGGGUCAUUGGAAACUGGGGAACUUGAGUGCAGGAGAGAAGAGUGGAAUUCCACGUGUAGCGGUGAAAUGCGUAGAGAUGUGGAGGAACACCAGUGGCGAAGGCGACUCUUUGGCCUGUAACUGACGCCGAGGCGCGAAAGCGUGGGGAGCAAACAGG
rnacentral:rRNA from 1 species